UGGUGAACUUUGCUUGUGUAGGGUGACAAACCCAUACGCGAAAUGAAAGUAAGUCUAAGGUGCCAAGCGCAAGCAGCAGCAUCGGCCUCCUUUCUCUUUCUAGGGAGAGUGUGCGCAAGAGCUAUACCUUUUGGACCCGAAAGAUGGUGAACUUUGCUUGUGUAGGGUGAAGCAUGGGGAAACCUAUGUGGAAGCUCGUAGCGAUACUGACGUGCAAAUCGUUCGUCGAACAUGAGUAAAGGGGCGAAAGACUAAUCGAACUAUCUAGUAGCUGGUUCCCUGCGAAGUUUUUUUCAGAAUAGCUGUUGCAAAAUUGUAGUUUUACUAGGUAAAGCGAAUGAUUAGAGGACUCUGGCGGUUAAUCUGCUUGACCUAUUCUCAAACUUUAAAUUGGUAAGAACCGGCGGUUUUCUUAAUUGAACCAAUGGGCAGAAUACAUUGCAAUUAGUGGGCCAUUUUUGGUAAGCAGAACUGGCGAUGAGGGAUGAACCUAACGUUGAGUUAAGGUGCCUAACACGUAAUCAUCGGACACCAUAAAAGGCGUAUUAUAGUUGAUACAGCUGGACUGUGACCCUAAAAGUAGGUAUCAGCCAAGGAUCGUCUAACAACCCACCAGCAUAAUUAUAAUGCCCUGAAAAUGGAUGGCGCUACAUUACGUGACCGAUACUCGACCAAUAGGGUAAGUUUUACACCCUAUUGAGUAGCAGGGCGUGACCAUAGUGCAGAAGCUUUGGUGUGAACCUUAGUGGAACUGUGGUUAGUGCAGAUCUUGGUUGUAGUAGCAAUUAUUCAAAUGAGAACUUUGAAGGCCGAAGUGGAGAAGGGUUUCAUGAGAACUGCAUUGGGUCAUGAGUUACUCGAUCCUAAGGUAACGGGAAAAUCCGUGUAAUGAGCAUUUUGUGCUCGAAGCCAAAAGGGAAAGGGGUUAAUAUUCCUCUAGUCCGUCCAGGAUAUUAUAUGGUGACAUUAACAAGCCCGAAGACGCCAGCACGUACCCUAAGAAGGAUUCUCUUUUCUUUUUAACUGACUAUCGCCUUGGAAUUGGAUUAUCCAGAGAGACGGCUUAAUGUCAGGAAGAGCAGACCACUACUCGGUUUGUUUGGUGCGUACGUGAUGGUCCUUGAAAAUUCGGGGGAGAAUAUUAUUCACUGGCGGAGUCGUACCAAUAACCGCAUCAGGUCUCCUAGGUUAGCAGCCUCUGGCCAAUUAGAAUAAUGUAGAUAAAGGAAGUCGACAAAAUGCUAAUUUAACUUCGGGAUAAAUUAGGGCUCUGAGGGUUUAGCAGUAAGGUUCUGAAUGAACACGGAAGGUUGACAUUGUGAUGGCGCAAGUCGUCGCUUUUGAUGCUUGAUAUGUUCUGAAGCUGCCGAGCUGUAACUAAAAACUAACUCAGAACUGAAGCAAACCAGGGGAAUCUAACUGUUUAAUAGAAACAUAGCAUUGUGAUGGCCUGAAAAGGUGUUGACACAAUGUGAUUUCUGCCCAGUGCUCUAAAGUUACUGAUAUGAAAAUAUCCUAAGCUUGGGUAAACGGCGGGAGUAACUAUGACUCUCUUAAGGUAGCCAAAUGCCUCGUCAUCUAAUUAGUGACGCGCAUGAAUGGAUCACUGAGAUUCCCAUUGUCUCUAUCUACUAUCUAGCGAACCAGCAGCCAAGGGAACGGACUUGGCGUAAUCAGCGGGGAAAGAAGACCCUGUUGAGCUUGACUCUAGUCUGACUUUGUGAUGUCGAUAUCUCGGUGUAGCCUAGGAGGGAGAUUCGUCGAGCCUGCAAAACCUCUACGGGGUACUCGACAUCACUUAUUUCGUAAGAUUAGGCAUAGGAUUUUCCUAUUUCUAGAACUAAGACUGCCUAGCAGUUGACUUAAGCGGAAGACAUUGUCAGGUGGGGAGUUUGGCUGGGGCGGCACAUCUGUUAAACAAUAACGCAGGUGU
rnacentral:rRNA from 1 species